GGAAGGGUGGCUGAGUCCGGUUUAAGGCACUCGACUCGAAAUCGAACGUAGGGAAACCUACCGCGGGUUCGAAUCCCGCCCCUUCCGCCA
rnacentral:tRNA from 1 species